GGUUCCGUUGUGAAAGGCGCUGUAAGGCGCCACUAAAAGAUGAGGGUGCGGAACAUUAGUUAGUUGGUGAGGUAAUGGCCCACCAAGACUAUGAUGUUUAGCCGGGUCGAGAGACUGAACGGCCACAUUGGGACUGAGAUACGGCCCAAACUCCUACGGGAGGCAGCAGUAGGGAAUAUUCCACAAUGAGCGAAAGCUUGAUGGAGCGACACAGCGUGCACGAUGAAGGUCUUCGGAUUGUAAAGUGCUGUUAUAAGGGAAGAACAUUUGCAAUAGGAAAUGAUUGCAGACUGACGGUACCA
rnacentral:rRNA from 1 species